UACGUAGGGGGCAAGCGUUGUCCGGAUUUAUUGGGCGUAAAGAGCGUGUAGGCGGCCAGACAGGUCCGUUGUGAAAACUCGAGGCUCAACCUCGAGAUGUUGAUGGAAACCGUCUGGCUAGAGUCCGGAAGAGGAGUGUGGAAUUCCUGGUGUAGCGGUGAAAUGCGCAGAUAUCAGGAAGAACACCUAUGGCGAAGGCAGCACUCUGGGACGGUACUGACGCUGAGACGCGAAAGCGUGGGGAGCGAACAGG
rnacentral:rRNA from 1 species